GUCGAGCGAACGGACGAGAAGCUUGCUUCUCUGAUGUUAGCGGCGGACGGGUGAGUAACACGUGGAUAACCUACCUAUAAGACUGGGAUAACUUCGGGAAACCGGAGCUAAUACCGGAUAAUAUUAUGAACCGCAUGGUUCAAAAGUGAAAGACGGUCUUGCUGUCACUUAUAGAUGGAUCCGCGCUGCAUUAGCUAGUUGGUAAGGUAACGGCUUACCAAGGCAACGAUGCAUAGCCGACCUGAGAGGGUGAUCGGCCACACUGGAACUGAGACACGGUCCAGACUCCUACGGGAGGCAGCAGUAGGGAAUCUUCCGCAAUGGGCGAAAGCCUGACGGAGCAACGCCGCGUGAGUGAUGAAGGUCUUCGGAUCGUAAAACUCUGUUAUUAGGGAAGAACAUAUGUGUAAGUAACUGUGCACAUCUUGACGGUACCUAAUCAGAAAGCCACGGCUAACUACGUGCCAGCAGCCGCGGUAAUACGUAGGUGGCAAGCGUUAUCCGGAAUUAUUGGGCGUAAAGCGCGCGUAGGCGGUUUUUUAAGUCUGAUGUGAAAGCCCACGGCUCAACCGUGGAGGGUCAUUGGAAACUGGAAAACUUGAGUGCAGAAGAGGAAAGUGGAAUUCCAUGUGUAGCGGUGAAAUGCGCAGAGAUAUGGAGGA
rnacentral:rRNA from 1 species